rnacentral:lncRNA from 1 species
AUGGCCGCCAUGGCUAAAAAUAGAACAUAGGGGUAAAAUGCAGUUUUUGGUUUAUAACUAAAAAACCAAAGCAUUAAGAGCAAAUCUGACAAAGGGUAAAAUUGUUUAUCAGGUCAAAAUCUAUCUGCCCGGAAAUUUUAAGAUGAAUCGGACAACCCGUUGUUGGGUUGCUGCCCCUAAAUUGGUAAUUUUAAGGAAAUUUUACUGUUUUGGGUUAUAAUCUUGAAUAUUAUUAUAGAUAGAGAUAAACUGUAAACAGCAAUAAUGUACAGCAAAGUAAGAUUUACAAAUAAGUCAACAUGACUGAAAUGGUCAAUUGACCCCCUAAGGAGUUAUUGUCCUUUAUAGUCAAUUUUUAACAAUUUUCAUAAAAUUUGUAAAUUUUUACUAACAUUUUCCACUGAAACUACUUGGCCAAGUUCAUUAUAGAUAGAGAUAAUUGUAAGCAGCAAGAAUGUUCAGUAAAGUAAGAUCUACAAACACAUCACCAUCACCAAAACACAAUUUUGUCAUGAAUCCAUCUGCUUCCUUUGUUUAAUAUUCACAUUGACCAAGGUGAGCGACACAGGCUCUUUAGAGCCUCUAGUUCAA